rnacentral:miRNA from 17 species
CAGCGCCUCUCCCUCCGCCCACUCGGCCGCCACGUGGCAGCCGAGUGGGGUGUCACGACCGGAAAUAACCCAACGGGCGUUCC